rnacentral:rRNA from 1 species
GACGAACGCUGGCGGCGUGCUUAACACAUGCAAGUCGAACGGAAAGGCCCUGCUUUUGUGGUGUGCUCGAGUGGCGAAAGGGUGAGUAACACGUGAGUAACCUGCCCUUGACUUUGGUAUAACUUCAGGAAACUGGGGCUAAUACCGGAUCGGAGCUCCUGCUGCAUGGUGGGGGUUGGAAAGUUUCGGCGGUUGGGGAUGGACUCGCGGCUUAUCAGCUUGUUGGUGGGGUAGUGGCUUACCAAGGCUUUGACGGGUAGCCGGCCUGAGAGGGGGACCGGCCACAUUGGGACUGAGAUGCGGCCCAGACUCCUACGGGAGGCAGCAGUGGGGAAUAUUGCACAAUGGGAGGAAGCCUGAUGCAGCAACGCCGCGUGCGGGAAGACGGCCUGCGGGUUGUAAACCGCUUUCGCCUGUGACGAAGCGUGAGUGACGGUAAUGGGUAAAGAAGCACCGGCUAACUACGUG